rnacentral:rRNA from 1 species
GACGUUACCUACAGAAGAAGCACCGGCUAACUCCGUGCCAGCAGCCGCGGUAAUACGGAGGGGUGCGAGCGUUAAUCGGAAUUACUGGGCGUAAAGCGCAUGCAGGCGGCCUGUUAAGUCAGAUGUGAAAGCCCGGGGCGUUAACCUCGGAAUUGCAUUUGAAACUGGCAGGCUAGAGUCUUGUAGAGGGGGGUAGGAAGUUUCAGGUGUAGCGGUGAAAUGCGUAGAGAUCUGAAGGAAUACCAGUGGCGAAGGCGGCCCCCUCGGACAGAUACUGACACUCAGAUGCGAAAGCGUGGGGAGCAAACAGGAUUAGAUACCCCUGGUAG